rnacentral:rRNA from 1 species
GACGAACGCUGGCGGCGUGCUUAACACAUGCAAGUCGAACGGAAAGGCCCUGCUUUUGUGGGGUGCUCGAGUGGCGAACGGGUGAGUAACACGUGAGUAACCUGCCCUUGACUUUGGGAUAACUUCAGGAAACUGGGGCUAAUACCGGAUAGGAGCUCCUGCUGCAUGGUGGGGGUUGGAAAGUUUCGGCGGGUGGGGAUGGACUCGCGGCUUAUCAGCUUGUUGGUGGGGUAGUGGCUUACCAAGGCUUUGACGGGUAGCCGGCCUGAGAGGGUGACCGGCCACAUUGGGACUGAGGUACGGCGCAGACUCCUACGGGAGGCAGCAGUGGGGAAUAUUGCACAAUGGGCGGAAGCCUGAUGCAGCAACGCCGCGUGCGGGAUGACGGCCUUCGGGUUGUAAACCGCUUUCGCCUGUGACGAAGCGUGAGUGACGGUAAUGGGUAAAGAAGCACCGGCUAACUACGUG